CCUACGGGUGGCAGCAGUGAGGAAUAUUGGUCAAUGGACGCGAGUCUGAACCAGCCAAGUAGCGUGAAGGAUGACGGCCCUAUGGGUUGUAAACUUCUUUUAUAUGGGAAUAAAAUGUUUCACGUGUGGGAUUUUGUAUGUACCAUAUGAAUAAGGAUCGGCUAAAUCCGUGCCAGCAGCCGCGGUAAUACGGAAGAUCCGGGCGUUAUCCGGAUUUAUUGGGUUUAAAGGGAGCGUAGGUCGACUGUUAAGUGAGUUGUGAAAGUCCGCGGCUCAACCGUAGAAUUGCAGGUGGAACUGGCGGUCUUGAGUACAGUAGAGGUAGGCGGAAUUCGUGGUGUAGCGGUGAAAUGCUUAGAUAUCACGAAGAACUCCGAUUGCGAAGGCAGCUCACCGGAGCGUAACUGACGCUGAGGCUCGAAAGUGCGGGUAUCGAACAGGAUUAGAUACACCAGUAGUC
rnacentral:rRNA from 1 species